AAAAGCAAGUAGUUUUUUACGAUGGAUAACAAUUUCAAGUGUUGUAAACCUCUACCUAAAUCAAAAAAGUGUUGUUCAGAUACAAGAAACUUGUCAGAUGGAGUAAUAGAAAAAUUAAAAUGUUUUGGCUGUAAAAUACCUCUGGAUAGUUCUUUGAAAAUUUGUAGUAGAUGUCGUCUUCAAGUUUACCGUUUGCCAUCAAACAAAACGCCUUCGAAUGACGGAAUGCAGCAAGAUCUGGAACAACCUUCUACCAUGCAGUGGUGUACGCUCAACAGCACCCAUAGAUAUCGAGAGUGAAUCCAUUGUGAAUAUCAUCCCAUCGGUUACGUCUCUGGCUUCAUCGACUUCAGCAGAUUCUGUUGUUAAUAGAAUCAGUUUGUC